CGUCAAUAUCCAAAACAGUCUCCAAGAAGUCGCCAGCCGAAGAUGGACUCAGUGGGUGCGGCGGUUGUUGGUUCAGUGCGCAUUGGCUGGACACACGGUUCUGGACUCAGUGCCGAUCGAAUUCUCCAAGCGAUCUAACGAUGACGGCAGCGAGGAAGCCAAAUGGAGGCUGUACCUACAGAAAAGAGACGAUAUCAAUUCAGGGGUUUCGUUAUAAGCCCGCUUCAGAUCUUCGAUCGAAAAGGGAAGAGAUCAAUCCGAUCCCUCCGUCAUCGAUUCAUAAGACGUGUGGGAAUUAAGCGGAAACCUGAGGGAGUUACUUCUGGGUUGCCAUGUUUUCUCUGCGAAUGAGUCCAACAUCUGUGCAGCUUGUUUCUCACAUGAAUUAAAUUUUUGGUGUUGUUGAAAUCCUAAUAGGGGAAUUCUGCAAAAAAGUACUUACGGGUUGAGACCUCUGAACCAGCAGUGGUUGUAGCAUUCGACACAUAUGAACAAAGGCUCAAACCAGGAGUUUGUGCCACAUCUUUACAUACCACAAUGGUAAGAAUUUUUCUCAUCACUAUUAUAAUAAUGCCAAGAUUUUUUUACACAUUAUUUUUUUAAA